UGAACGUAAUGAGCUGCAGGUCCCUCUAUUAUCAUUUGCAGCCACAGAUCCCUCUCUUUCUUCGCUUCAGUACCCGUUUUUUGUUAGAACUUCACCAAGUGAUAAGUAUCAGAUGGAAGCUAUAGCUGAAAUGGUUGAGUACUAUGAAUGGAGGGAGGUGAUUGCUAUAUAUAUUGAUGAUGAUUUUGGAAGAAAUGGUAUAGCUGCAUUAGCAGAUCAGCUGGCCAAGAGGCGAUGUUCGAUCUCUUACAAAGCAGCAAUGAGACCUGGAGCAACAUUGGAUGAUGCCCGGGAUGCUUUGGUUCAGGUUGCUUUGAGAGAGUCACGAAUAAUGGUUGUUCAUACUUAUCCUACAAAGGGUCUGGAGAUAUUCUCUAUGGCACGGUAUUUGGGGAUGAUAGAUAAAGGAUAUGUGUGGAUUGCUACAAAUUGGCUCUCAACUAUCCUUGACGCUGGUAGUCCCCUUCCUUCGGAUGAAAAAGAGAACCUUGAAGGGGCUAUUACCUUGCGUAUACACACUCCAGGUUCAGAAUUGAAACAGAAGUUUGUCUCACGGUGGAGCAAUUUGACAAGGAAGGCAGGACUUGCUGGAUCUUCAAGGAUGUCCACUUAUGCACUCUAUGCUUAUGACACUGUGUGGCUACUUGCUCGUGCCAUCAAUGAAUUCUUUAACCAGGGUGGAAAAGUUUCAUUUUCUAAGGAUCCAAGGCUAACUGAACUGAAUAGUGGAAGUAUGAAUCUUGAUUCUAUGAGCAUCUUUAAUGGAGGGAAGUUAUUGCGAGACAACAUUUUUAAGGUUAAUAUGACAGGUGUAACAG
rnacentral:misc_RNA from 1 species